AGUACGCGCAUGAUUUUACAUUUUAGCAAAAGAAGAAUAUCUGCAAUAUAACAACGUCGACACACGGUGAUGGGGUUGACAAUGAGUGUGAUGGUUUGAUAGAUGAAGAUGGUUUCUAUGGUGAUGGUUACGGGAUUUAUAAAGAAGAUAAUGAUCUUGAUGGGGACUUUGGGGAAGAUUUCGGUGGUGACAAAAUUUUAAGUUUGAACGUCACUACAAAGCCAGAUGAGCCGGUUUGUUUUGAGAUAAAACAUGUUCCGGGACAGUGCUGGAAGGCAUGCACGUGCAAAUGCUCAUGGGUUGAGAGAUUAAAGAAGGAAAGGAAUAUGACCCAUGAACAACUUGUGGAAGCACAGCAAAAUUUUAUUUUGCAACACAAAAUAAACAUGAAGCUUAACAACGACAAACUGGCAGCAAGUAUGUCAAAGAAGAAAAGCGCUGCUGAUGGGCGUAAAAGCGCGUCAAGUAUUGGCUACGCCGGCAUAGCAUUGUUUGCCGUCACAUUUUUAAUAGUUUUUAUUAUGGAUCUAGGUGCGCUCAAACGGGAUGCUCUGAUACUUUUUGCAAACUUAAAGGACGGUUAUGAAAGUGUAUGCGAAAUCAUUGGGAAGUGCUGCAAAAGGAAAGAAGAGGUGCCGCUCGAAAUGAAUAACAUCCAGUAAAAUAUAAUAAAUACAAAGAAUAAUAAAAAGGGUUUUUGAUAAUAAAAUCCGGCAUAUCGUUACCAGCCUUUAGCAAAUUACAUGUUUUGUAUAAAUUUUAACAAGUGCUAGGUGACAAUAUAAGAAUAAACAAUGAAAUAAUUCAUGUUUCAUAAAGUGUUAUAAUGCAAAAGUUAAAAGAUAUAUACAGAGGCAUGGUUCGCAUCAUGCACAAAUCAUUUUAACAUAUUGUAAGUACAGUAAAUAGUUGUAGUAAUAAGCAAAGGCUUUUCUGUCCGUUUUGUCCCCGUAUAUCCACCAGACAAUCUCUAAUAGGCAGGGUAUAAACCGGGGAAAAUAACAAAGGAAAAAUCUAAUUUAUCCUAGGGUUUUUUGGCCAAUGUUACACUUUACGAGAUCAUUAUGUGUUAUUUAAGUGUUAUUCAUUUUUCAGUGGCGUCCCCAACGUGUGCUUAAUCAUUCAUUGUUGUGUAGGUGUUGUGCUUUUGAGGAUAUUGUGAUGCAUUAAAAAAAGAAUACUCUGAAUAUUUUCUCCAUUCCGGAGGCGUGGCGCUUCCUAUCAAUAAUUAAAUUAAAUGCUGUGUAAUGGGUUUAAAAUGUGUUUAAUCAUAAAUGUUUAAAAGAAUUCCUCAUACAGUAUUUUUCUCGGUUAUUUGCAGCUCUUGACGGACAAGCUAAUGUAAAUGUUAUGAACUGAACUAUAAAAUUCAUAAUUGUGCUGUAAUAUUUACCUAUUUCUUGGAUCUUUUGUUUCCAGUAUGUAUAAAUCUGGUACUGUUUUAUUCUUGCACAAUAAGGAAUAGAUUCGAUUCUCUAGCGGCGAGCUAUUUAUAGCUUCUUUUACCGCAGUUGGCUGACUCAGUCACUAUUAAUUUUCUUAUUACAAAUAUCUUAUGGCAAACACAUUUAUUGUUUUAUAAGACCAUUCCCGCCCAAGAAU